GACGAACGCUGGCGGCGUGCCUAAUACAUGCAAGUAGAACGCACAGUUUAUACCGUAGCUUGCUACACCAUAGACUGUGAGUUGCGAACGGGUGAGUAACGCGUAGGUAACCUGCCUGGUAGCGGGGGAUAACUAUUGGAAACGAUAGCUAAUACCGCAUAAUAUUAAUUAUUGCAUGAUAAUUAAUUGAAAGGUGCAAUUGCACCACUACCAGAUGGACCUGCGUUGCAUUAGCUAGUAGGUGAGGUAACGGCUCACCUAGGCGACGAUACAUAGCCGACCUGAGAGGGUGAUCGGCCACACUGGGACUGAGACACGGCCCAGACUCCUACGGGAGGCAGCAGUAGGGAAUCUUCGGCAAUGGACGAAAGUCUGACCGAGCAACGCCGCGUGAGUGAAGAAGGUUUUCGGAUCGUAAAGCUCUGUUGUAAGAGAAGAACGGGUGUGAGGGUGGAAAGUUCACACUGUGACGGUAUCUUACCAGAAAGGGACGGCUAACUACGUG
rnacentral:rRNA from 1 species